rnacentral:rRNA from 1 species
UACGUAGGGGGCAAGCGUUGUCCGGAUUUAUUGGGCGUAAAGAGCGUGUAGGCGGCCUGAAAGGUCAGCUGUGAAAACUCGAGGCUCAACCUCGAGACGUCGGUUGAAACCAUCUGGCUAGAGUCCGGAAGAGGAGAGUGGAAUUCCCGGUGUAGCGGUGAAAUGCGCAGAUAUCGGGAAGAACACCCGUGGCGAAGGCGGCUACCUGGCCUAAGACUGACGCUGAGGUGCGAAAGCGUGGGGAGCGAACGGG